CCUACGGGGCGCAGCAGUGGGGGAUAUUGCACAAUGGGGGGAACCCUGAUGCAGCGACGCCGCGUGGGCGAUGGAGUACUUCGGUAUGUAAAGCCCUAUCAGCAGGGAAGAAAAUGACGGUACCUGACUAAGAAGCCCCGGCUAAAUACGUGCCAGCAGCCGCGGUAAUACGUAUGGGGCAAGCGUUAUCCGGAAUGAUUGGGCGUAAAGGGUGCGUAGGCGGCCUGCUAAGUCUGGAGUGAAAGGUACCGGCUCAACCGGUACAGGCCCUGGAAACUGGCGGGCUAGAGAGCAGG
rnacentral:rRNA from 1 species